rnacentral:rRNA from 1 species
UAAGGAAUCUUCCACAAUGGACGCAAGUCUGAUGGAGCAACGCCGCGUGAGUGAAGAAGGUUUUCGGACCGUAAAGCUCUGUUGUUGGUGAAGAAGGAUAGAGGUAGUAACUGGCCUUUAUUUGACGGUAAUCAACCAGAAAGUCACGGCUAACUACGUGCCAGCAGCCGCGGUAAUACGUAGGUGGCAAGCGUUGUCCGGAUUUAUUGGGCGUAAAGCGAGCGCAGGCGGAAGAAUAAGUCUGAUGUGAAAGCCCUCGGCUUAACCGAGGAAUUGCAUCGGAAAC